rnacentral:rRNA from 1 species
AGAGUUUGAUCAUGGCUCAGGAUGAACGCUAGCGGCAGGCCUAACACAUGCAAGUCGAGGGGUAACAGGGGAGCUUGCUCCCGCUGACGACCGGCGCACGGGUGCGGAACGCGUAUGGAACCUACCUCAAUCAGGGGGAUAGCCCAGGGAAACUUGGAUUAAUACCCCAUAGUAUUGUUUUAUUGCAUGAUAGAACAAUUAAAGCUUCGGCGGAUUGAGAUGGCCAUGCGUAUCAUUAGCUAGUUGGUAAGGUAAUGGCUUACCAAGGCAACGAUGAUUAGGGGCCCUGAGAGGGGGAUCCCCCACACUGGUACUGAGACACGGACCAGACUCCUACGGGAGGCAGCAGUGAGGAAUAUUGGACAAUGGUCGCAAGACUGAUCCAGCCAUGCCGCGUGCAGGAUGACUGCCCUAUGGGUUGUAAACUGCUUUUGUACGAGAAGAACACCCUCUUCGUGAAGAGGACUGACGGUAUCGUACGAAUAAGGACCGGCUAACUCCGUGCCAGCAGCCGCGGUAAUAC